CCUACGAGCGGCAGCAGUGAGGAAUAUUGGUCAAUGGUCGGGAGACUGAACCAGCCAAGCCGCGUGAGGGAUGCAGGUACAGAGUAUCGUAAACCUCUUUUGUCAGGGAACAAAGGCGGGGACGUGUCCCCGGAUGAGUGUACCUGAAGAAAAAGCAUCGGCUAACUCCGUGCCAGCAGCCGCGGUAAUACGGAGGAUGCGAGCGUUAUCCGGUUUUAUUGGGUUUAAAGGGUGCGCAGGCGGUCUGUUAAGUCAGCGGUAAAGGCCCGGGGCUAACCCCCGGCCCGCCGUUGAAACUGGCAGUCUCGAGUUGGAGAGAAGUAUGCGGAAUGCGCGGUGUAGCGGUGAAAUGCAUAGAUAUCGCGCAGAACUCCGAUUGCGAAGGCAGCAUGCCGGCUCCACACUGACGCUGAGGCACGAAAGCGUGGGUAUCGAACAGGAUUAGAUACCCUGGUAGUC
rnacentral:rRNA from 1 species